ensembl:snoRNA LOC120099023 small nucleolar RNA SNORA17
UCUGCCCCUAGAAUCCUUGUAGGUUAGCUGCUGUGUCACAUGUGCAUCAAAAGGUGGCAGAGAGGAGAGAGGGUAUGUCUACACUUAGUGUUCUGACCUACAGACUUCUGAGUAAUUAGUAGCCUUGCAUC